AUCUUGGAGUCAGUCUUCCAAUGGAUGAUCAUGGUGACCUGGGGGCAGCCAGAGUAGCCAUGGGGACCUGUCCUUGGGGCAGCGAGGACGAGGGACAUCAACACCUCUUCUGUAAGGGCGAGGAUUCUGAAGCUGGGUGUCGGAGUCCAUUUCCCGGUGGUGAUCUGGGGGCAGCCAGAGAAGCCACGGCGUCCUGUCCUUGGGGCAGCGAGCAUGAGGGACAUUCAACACCUGUUUGGAAAGGGCGAGGAUUCUGUAGCUGGCCAUCUCGGAGUCCAUCUUCCUGUGGACGGAUGAUCCUGUUGACCUGGGGGCAGCCAGAGAAGACAUGGGGUCCUGGCUGUGGGGUAGCAAGGACGAGGGACAUUCAACCCCUUUUCUGGAAGGGCGAGGAUUCUGAAACUGGGCAUCUUGGAAUCAGUCUUCCAAUGGAUGAUCAUGAUGACCUGGGGCAGCCAGAGUAGCCAUGGGGACCUGUCCUUGGGGCAGCGAGGACCAGGGCCUUUCAACACCUCUUCUGGAAGGUUAGCAUUCUCAAGCUGGGCAUCUUGGAGUCCACCUUCCUGUGGACGAUCGUGGUGACCUGGGGGCAGCCAGAGAAGCCAUGAUGUCCUGUCAUUGGGGCAGCGAGGACGAAGGACACUAUACGCUUGAUGACCCCAGAGGCAAGGAUUCUGAAGCUGCAAGUCUUGGAGUCUGUCUUCCCGUGGAAGAUCGUGGAGACGUGGGUCACCAGAGACAUAGCUCUGCUGCAGCAUCUGCUGUGUAGACCCUUUGGUGGCCCCAGGACCCUCUUUCACUUCAGAGGUCAGAGGGACAAGCUGACAAGGGGAGAACACGGCCCUGUCAUGCCAUGGCCUGGUCCCUGGUUCCUGUCCCUUUGAGACCCCAGGGCACUUUGGUGAAGAAGCCCACAGACCAGCAGGGAGGUGGCAGGUGCCUCGUCCAAGCCAGAGGAGAUGCCCACCCUGGGGCUCGGUCCCCCGAGGACAGACAUGGGGAGGCAGUGCUGGCAGCACAGAGCUGUAGUGAUGCCAGCGCACCUGCCAGGCCCCAGCACAGCCCCGGCUGCUGGCCUGGUCUACAGCUCAUGGGCAGGGACCUCCAAGCCCGGCCGCCACAGAGGGGUCCCCUCUCUCACGUGCUCACCCCCCAUCGCGCACCAUGCAGGACCUUGCAUGCAAGACUCAUGGGGCCACUGUGGCCCUCAGAGACACCCAUCUCCCAGGGGGGCACAUUGAGGCUCCGAGGCCUGAAGGGCCCGACUCGAAGGUCAGGGCUCUCAGGAGGGACGGGAUCCGGACGUCUGAGUCUCAGAGGAGCAGAUGCACUCACCUCCAUCCAGGGGCCUCCGGCACAGGAGCCAUGGCCUGCAGGAAGGACAGAAACGCCCAGGACACGGUCCUCCUGCACCUGGCAGCCCCACCUCCACCUGCCCAGGGUCUGCGCUACCUUGUCCAGACAGCCCCUGUCCCACCUGACAGCCUUCUCAGCUCGGGCCCCAGGAGCCGCCAUGACACCUCCUGCCCCGCUCUGCUGAGGGACGCGGGAGCCACUGGGGACACAGAGGGCUGGGGGACCGGCAGUCAGUCCCCGCCCCAUGAAGUCCCCAUCCAGGAUGUGAUUCUGGCCUCGGGAUUCUGCUCCCUCUCCCGGGGCUCCCAGGGAGGGAGACGAGUGGUGCACAAAUGAAAAUGAAACAACAGAAAUCAAAUUAACAAAAAUCAGAAACCAAAAAUGAACAAACUCACUCUGCUCCCAUCACCAACAGAAAACAUGACCUGUAUCAACUACACCAGACCAACCACGGAGACUGCUCUGUGGAAUAAAAUGUUAAAUGUGAAAACA
rnacentral:lncRNA from 1 species